rnacentral:rRNA from 1 species
GCAGUCGAGCGAUAACCAUGGCUUCGGCCAUGGGGAGAGCGGCGAACGGGUGAGUAACACGUGAGUGAUCUGCCCUCGACACCGGGAUAGCCCGGGGAAACCCGGAUUAAUACCGGAUAGCCCUUCGAGCCUACGGGCUCGUCAGAAAAGAUGGCUUCGGCUUUCGGUUGAGGAGGAGCUUGCGGCGGAUUAGCUUGUUGGUGGGGUAAUGGCUCACCAAGGCGACGAUCCGUAGCUGGUCUGAGAGGACGAUCAGCCACACUGGGACUGAGACACGGCCCAGACUCCUACGGGAGGCAGCAGUGGGGAAUCUUGCGCAAUGGGCGAAAGCCUGACGCAGCGACGCCGCGUGAGGGAAGAAGGCCUUCGGGUUGUAAACCUCUUUCAGGAGGGACGAAGCUACUCGGGUUAAUACCCCAGAGGGUGACGGUACCUCCAGAAGAAGCCCCGGCUAACUACGUGCCAGCAGCCGCGGUAAUACGUAGGGGGCAAGCGUUGUCCGGAAUCAUUGGGCGUAAAGCGCGUGUAGGCGGCCAGAAAAGUCCGCUGUGAAAACUCGAGGCUCAACUUCGAGCUGUCGGUGGAAACUUUCUGGCUAGAGUCCGGAAGAGGAGAAUGGAAUUCCUGGUGUAGCGGUGAAAUGCGCAGAUAUCAGGAAGAACACCCGUGGCGAAGGCGGUUCUCUGGGACGGUACUGACGCUGAGACGCGAAAGCGUGGGGAGCGAACAGGAUUAGAUACCCUGGUAGUCCACGCCGUAAACGAUGGGUGCUA